ACAGAAAUGGGGAGGAGCCUCAUUCAGGCUCAGUGGGGGCGUUAAGGGACAUCAUUAAUCAGUUUGACCUAGUGGAUCUUUCGAGAACUAGACAUCCUGACACAAGACCGUAUACAUGAGUGAAGGUCUUUGGGGCUAGGCUACCCUGGCCGUAUGACUCCCCAAGUGGUGCAGCUGUCUAAGGAACAGCGUCUCAGUGACAGAGGCGUCACUACAGACACCCAGGUUCAAAUCCAAAUUGCAUUUAUAUCAAACUCCAAGGCAUAGUGAUUGGUCUCUGCUAUGUCUCUCACCAGCUCCUCUGUCAGAAACAACUUGAAGCACUCUGCCUCAGAUGGAAAUGGCAAGGGGCUUUGCACUCCAGACUGGGACUCAAAGCAAACAGCAGGGCCAGGAGGGGUGAAAUAACUGGCAGCCUUCCAGCUACCACAGAACUCCUGUACUUCAUCCACUAUCAUUCUGCCUCCAUCGCCACCAGCAUCUUCAAAGGGAACUGGGACUUCAUCAGUGGACAAGGGGUCUUCCGAUUCAGGGUUCUCAAUGGCUGGGGGGCAGCUCCUCACUGUCACAUAUAUUACAAUCUGAUUCCUGACUUUCAGACUCAUUGACAGAAUUUCCACAAGACAUUGCUAAUGCUACAGCUUAUCUCACUAGCUACAUACAUUUAUAGAUUUACUGUUUUAUUCACAUGUUUUUCAAGUCCCGGCGAUAAAUCAUGCAUUCUGAUUCUUGUAUAGACUGUAAUGGGCACAUAGUAUGUGUGUAAAAUUAUUUUUUGAAGGCUGUACUGUUUAUGAUGAGCUAAGCUAAUUCCAGCUAUGUGUGGAGCCAUGUUUGUUGACAUACAAUGCAUUCUGGGUUUCACGUGAUCGUCUGUCGGACCAAAGAUGCUAUAAUAAAAUGAGGUGAGUAAGGGUUCACUCAUUUUUUGAGAACUUCAGGAAGUGAAUGGUGGGAUGUGAAUGGUGGUGGACGACACACCCCUUCAACAUGCAUAAUAUAAACAUACCAAACUCAUCAAUGGUGAGCUCACCUGUGAUUAAUUAUAAAUAGUAAUUGCUAUUAGCUAAUUCAUAUUGUAGUUUAUGUCAGCCGAGAGUUAGAAAAUAUGGCCGCUUGUUGCCUACAUUUUUCCGGUUUGGAUGAUUGAGUUAUGCUAUAGAUACUUCUGUGAAUAUCUGAACACUGCAUCCAAAAAUAAACUGCUCACAUUCUGGACAUAA